UACAGAGGCCUCAAGCGUUAGGCGGAAUCACUGGGCUUAAAGCGUGUGUAGGCGGGUCGUUAAGUGCCUUGUGAAAUCCCCUGGCUCAACCAGGGGAACUGCUUGGCAUACUGGCGAUCUUGAGCCACCUAGGGGCAACUGGAACAGACGGUGGAGCGGUGAAAUGCGUAGAUAUCGUCUGGAACGCCAAUGGUGAAGACAGGUUGCUGGGGGUGCGCUGACGCUGGAGACACGAAAGCCAGGGGAGCAAAGCGGG
rnacentral:rRNA from 1 species